AAGUUUCUACUGAAUGGAUCUUACAACCAUACACAAUGAGGACACGUUUUUGGUUGUGCUUGAGAAUGGUCUGAUCAGCAGGGAGAAAAACUCUUCCAUGCUGCAAGUGGAGCUACUGAGAACUCUCUCCUGAAGUGCCUGGAACUCCCUACUCAUGAACCCUGGCAACCAUCAUCCCUACUUUUUGCUUCUAUGAAUGGACUACUCCAGGUACUUCAU